rnacentral:rRNA from 1 species
UACAGAGGGUGCGAGCGUUGUUCGGAGUUACUGGGCGUAAAGGGUGCGUAGGUGGCUCUAUAAGUAUGGUGUGAAAUCUCCCGGCUUAACUGGGAGGGUGCGCCGUAGACUGUGGGGCUAGAGUGUGGGAGAGGAAAGUGGAAUUCCUGGUGUAGCGGUGAAAUGCGUAGAUAUCAGGAGGAACACCGGUGGCGAAGGCGGGUCUCUGGGCCGAUAUUGACGCUGAGGAGCGAAAGCGUGGGGAGCAAACAGG